AAGCAACCAGUGCUUCAGGUUACAGGAGGACCUUGUUAAUUGUGUGUCCAGCACUCACAGUUUCGUGUAUCCACGGACGGGUAAUUAGCACCGACUUUGUAGAAGAAAUUACAGCUGAAGGCAAACUAAAUUUGGAGAUGUGAUCAAUGCACUGAAUCAGUGUCUGAAAGCAGUGAAAGGCUGGAUGGGCUGACGACUGGGAUUUAACCUAGGCAGGAAUGAGAACCUUCUCACCUGGACUGAUUGAACAACCUGUUGAUCAGACUCAGACAACUACUCACAUGACAAGUCUCUCAAGCACUUAACUCUGUCUCAUGUAUCCAGUAAACAAUAAUUAGUUGCGGACAGCGUAUAUACUUCCAUGCCUAAACACAUCUAACCAUUAUUUUGCUAAGUGUCUGUUGGGGUUGGGUAUCUUAACAAUAAGAGACAGAUGAUAGCUCACCUAAAGAAUUGUACAGCAAGCUGCUGAUAGCACAGUUUUGGACUAAACCAAAUUGAAAAGCUAAUCUACCCUUUUCCUUUUCUCUUGUAAACGACAAUUUUAAAAAUGUACAAAGAAUUUUCAUAUAUGAACUAAAGAGAUCAUUAUGUGACCCAUUCUUUAGAAUGGAAAGGGGUUUCUAUUCUUUACAAAUGAUAAUAAAGAGUAAAUAAAGCAUGCAAAAUAAUAAAAGUAAAAACUAA